GACGAACGCUGGCGGCGCGCUUAACACAUGCAAGUCGAACGGAAAGGCCCUGCUUUUGUGGGGUGCUCGAGUGGCGAACGGGUGAGUAACACGUGAGUAACCUGACCUUGACUUUGGGAUAACUUCAGGAAACUGGGGCUAAUACCGGAUAGGAGCUCCUGCUGCAUGGUGGGGGUUGGAAAGUUUCGGCGGUUGGGGAUGGACUCGCGGCUUAUCAGCUUGUUGGUGGGGUAGUGGAUUACCAAGGCUUUGACGGGUAGCCGGCCUGAGAGGGUGACCGGCCACAUUGGGACUGAGAUACGGACCAGACUCCUACGGGAGGCAGCAGUGGGGAAUAUUGCACAAUGGGCGGAAGCCUGAUGCAGCGACGCCGCGUGCGGGAUGACGGCCUUCGGGUUGUAAACCGCUUUCGCCUGUGACGAAGCGUGAGUGACGGUAAUGGGUAAAGAAGCACCGGCUAACUACAUG
rnacentral:rRNA from 1 species